rnacentral:tRNA from 1 species
GCCCCCGUAGCUCAGGGGAUAGAGCAACCGCCUCCUAAGCGGUAGGUCGCAGGUUCGAAUCCUGCCGGGGGCG